ACACCCGACAGGACACCGAUUAGAGCUCAGCUGCCCUGGAGUCAGUUCUGAGUGAAGUGGGGCCGAGACUCAUGCCGACAUUGUUCCCUCCGUCCCGCUGGGAGCGGACUCUCCACCCCAACAACCCCCUCGUCGCCCACAACAGGUGGGAGCCACGGGAUCGGAUGGAGUCGACCUCACAGGUAGACGGUCAGCGAGUGAAGACUCAAACGAAGGCCCUGUCACCAUCUCUAUGGCAACCGGAGUCCCCGCUCCAGGGUGAGGUGACUUGAUGGCGGAGACGGCCCAGCUGCAGCCAUGAACAGCUGCCGUCUAUGUUGGGACGGAGACCCGCCCCGCCCCUGAUGAGUCCAUUUCUAUAAAGUGGGUCUGGACGGGUCAUAAGGAGUCACCCGCAUUGGUCCGUGGAGAUGCAAGCGAGGAUGUAGCUGCGAUUGGAUGGGGGACGUAUUAGUCCUGUUAGUCCAAUGAGACCCAAGCACCAAGAUGGCACCGGUUCGAUUCCCGGUCGGGGCACAUCCCCACGUUGCGGACUCGACCCCCGUCAGGGGCGUGGAGGGGGCAGCCAAUCCAUGUUCCUCUCUCUGAUGUUUCUCUCUCUCUACCUCUCCCUUCCUCUCUCUCUAAGAUCAUAUAUAUUUUUAAAGAUUUUAGCCCCUUCUAUGCGUCAGACACCUUACAGAGAAUAUUUACUAUACGCCUCACACUAAAUUUACCAGAUUUUUAUUAUUCCAUAUUUUUACAUCGUUUUAAGUAAACUAAGUCACCUAUUCCAAGUUAUAUAGCCGGUGAGCUCCUGUACCUGAAGACCCAAACUGGAUGUGCCUGGGUUCUUUCCCGGCACCGUUACUCCCCCGCAGGGCAGGGGCAGAGGACCAACAGCUGUAACUGCUGUGAUGCCGCCUACAUAAAGGUCAAGAACAGGCAGGGCCUAUGCGCGCUGGUCGAGGGCUUCCUUCCUUCUGCUAAGCUGCCGGCUAUUCCUCCCGGGCGAGCAUCUUUUGCUUUUCAACCUGCAGGGAUGUGAAGCUGACAGUUACCGAACACUUUACCCUACCUGUCCUCUCCUUGUCUAAAGGCCCUGUAUUAUUUAACUGGUUCCCCACUCUAAGGCAGUCUUAUUCCUACGCCCAUUUU